rnacentral:misc_RNA from 1 species
UUUUUUUUUUUUUUUUUUUUUGAAAAAGCACGCAUCUCACAAUAAAUCAAUAAUUUUUGUAGCUCUUUCUAAUUUUAUAUAUAAACGUGUUUGUCUUCUUUGCAAAUGAGAAAGACUUUGUCUUGAUUUUCCUGUUUAUUUAUUUACUUUCUUUUUUCUGUUACAUUGUUCUUUCGGCAUUUUCCGUUCAAAAGUUACUCUUUAUUUUAAGGUACUUAGAAUUUGGUGAAUCUUUAGUUUUCUUUUCUUGUUGCUAAUUCAAUAUUGAUGAAUUUCGUUGCUUUUUAAAAAUA